rnacentral:rRNA from 1 species
CCUACGGGUGGCUGCAGUGGGGAAUAUUGGACAUGGGCGAAAGCCUGAUCCAGCCAUGCCGCGUGUGUGAAGAAGGCCUUCGGGUUGUAAAGCACUUUCAGUGGGGAAGAAAGCCUUGGGGCUAAUACCCUCGAGGAAGGACAUCACCCACAGAAGAAGCACCGGCUAACUCCGUGCCAGCAGCCGCGGUAAUACGGAGGGUGCGAGCGUUAAUCGGAAUUACUGGGCGUAAAGCGCGCGUAGGCGGUCUGAUAAGCCGGUUGUGAAAGCCCCGGGCUCAACCUGGGAACGGCAUCCGGAACUGUCAGGCUAGAGUGCAGGAGAGGAAGGUAGAAUUCCCGGUGUAGCGGUGAAAUGCGUAGAGAUCGGGAGGAAUACCAGUGGCGAAGGCGGCCUUCUGGACUGACACUGACGCUGAGGUGCGAAAGCGUGGGUAGCAAACAGGAUUAGAUACCCCGGUAGUC